rnacentral:rRNA from 1 species
UACAGAGGGUGCAAGCGUUGUUCGGAAUUAUUGGGCGUAAAGGGAGUGUAGGCGGCUUGUUAAGUCUUCUGUGAAAUCUACGGGCUCAGCCUGUAAAGUGCAGUGGAAACUGGCGAGCUUGAGUGUCGGAGAGGAUAGGGGAAUACCCGGUGUAGAGGUGAAAUUCGUAGAGAUCGGGUGGAACACCAGUGGCGAAGGCGCCUAUCUGGCUGACAACUGACGCUGAGACUCGAAAGCAUGGGGAGCAAACAGG